rnacentral:rRNA from 1 species
UACGAAGGGGGCUAGCGUUGUUCGGCCUUACUGGGCGUAAAGCGCGUGUAGGCGGGCCGUUAAGUCGGGGGUGAAAGCCCAGAGCUCAACUCUGGAAUUGCCUUCGAUACUGGCGGCCUGGAGCAUGAUAGAGGCGAGUGGAAUUGCGAGUGUAGAGGUGAAAUUCGUAGAUAUUCGCAGGAACACCAGUGGCGAAGGCGACUCGCUGGAUCAUUGCUGACGCUGAGACGCGAAAGCGUGGGGAGCAAAUAGG